AGGUGCUCAGGACACCCGGGCAGAAAGGCCUGCGAUCUCCCAGCCUGGGAGCUGAAGCAAGUUUCCAUUCCUGAGCCUGGGCAGGUGCUGGCCUAGCUGGAAGGCAGGGAAUUUUUGGAACAAGAGCAAGGCGGCUAAGCUGGUCACAGGUGUGCCCAAGAACCUUAAAAUAGCCCUGAAAGGGAGCAGAAGCCUGUUCCUCACUGCUUUCUGUGGGGUGCCCGCCCCCUCCCGAGGCCGCGGCGAGGGAUAAGCUCUUGUCUUCAAAGACCACGGCGGGGGCCGGACGCUGCUUCCGCAAGCACCAGCCACUCCAGAGACAGCCAGCGAGAGAGGGAACACAGCAGGGGGAGUGGGAGAGGAAGAAGCAGG